rnacentral:lncRNA from 1 species
AAAUGCAUGAACUCGCUGCACACUAGGGCCACGGAAGCUGAAAAUUCCCUUUCUCCCCCGGGAGGGGAUAUCGGUGCAAGGGAAACAAAACAAAACACACCUCCUGUGAAAAAAUAAGAAUCCGGGAUCUCUGCAAGUUGUUCCUGGCAAAGUUCUUUUGGUGGCUGGUGGUAGAAAUCCACGUCAAGCGGAGUUUGGUGAAGGAGGGGCAGGGACCUCGCUGGAAGGAUAUGAAGGUGUCUCAUGGGGCCAGGUUUGUGGGCCUCCGAAGGACCUGGAACUGAGCCCUGGAAAGGAGAGAGAAGCAGGAGAAGCAGCUCCCCACGUCUGCUGGCUGCCAGCUCAUCCCCAAGUUCACAGCCUCAGGGGCACAUGGCGGGAGGGGAGCAGGAGGUUGGCGCAGGCCCUUUUGGCUCUGGACCACACCGCCUGUAGUGCACCAUGAAUUAAUAUUUUUAAUAAAUCCUGUAAUUAUCUUGUGAACAGAACAUAUGCGUGGCACUUUAUUUUUUGGGUUCAAAGCACUAAUUUGUCCAAUAUAAACAUUAAAAAAUAUACCAUCAUUUUUGUAACCUUGUUUCUUUAUUUCUUAAUGUACCAGGAGACUUAUAAAAUAGAAAUGAGCUCCAAGGCCCCAACUAAGGGGUGCGCUCUGCUCUGGGUGGCCACCCCCAGCGGCCAGCUCUCAGACCCAGUUCUGAAGGUCUGGGAGAGAGAUUCUGCCCUGCUCCUCGUGGGCCAGAGGUUCACCCCAGCACCAUCAAUUGCAAGACUGCCAGCUCCUUUAUGGCAUAGAAGGGGUCAAAAGGGGUCAUCAGAGGCGGGGCAGCGUACCUACUGCACUAUCGUCUUUGUGAGCUCACUCUGUGCAGAUGCCCAGCUGUUACAAGUCUCCAUCCGGGCAAGCAGAGGACCCCAAGGACAGUGGAAUGGAGGAGGGAGCUCACCUUUCCUAAGAUUUUAUUUACUUGACAGAGAGAGACACAGUGAGAGAGGGAACACAAACAAGAGGAGUGGGAGAGGGAGAAGCAGGCUCCCCGCCGAGCAGGAAGCCCGAUGA